rnacentral:rRNA from 1 species
UACGAAGGGGGCUAGCGUUGCUCGGAAUCACUGGGCGUAAAGCGCACGUAGGCGGAUUGUUAAGUCAGGGGUGAAAUCCUGGAGCUCAACUCCAGAACUGCCUUUGAUACUGGCGAUCUUGAGUCCGGGAGAGGUGAGUGGAACUGCGAGUGUAGAGGUGAAAUUCGUAGAUAUUCGCAAGAACACCAGUGGCGAAGGCGGCUCGCUGGCCCGGUACUGACGCUGAGGUGCGAAAGCGUGGGGAGCAAACAGGG